UAUGCCGAUUCUGGGGCCUCAGCGGGAGGCGCCAUUUUGUAGCGAGGGAGGGAGGAUGGUCCUUGUGACUAGCCGGGAGGGAGAAGGGGUGACAGGCGCCAUUUUCCCCACAGGGGCUAGGAGGUGGCCUUGGCUCUCCCGGUGGGCUUGCUGGAGUGCGUUCUGGAGACUGGUUGGGCCUUGCCUAGCGACUGCCGAGUGUCGCCCCGUUGGGAGGGAGGUUGUGGGGAGGGCUAGUACAGAAUAAGACGCCUGACCGCUCCCUGGGGGCUCUCGGUGCCAGUUGAGGCCUUUGGUUUCGGGCGACGGCUUUGUUUUCCAAGAGCUGCUGUGUGCCGGUCCCUGGCUGCUAGGCCUGCCUGCGCUUCUCAAGUCGCCGGGGCAUCAUCAUUCGGUGGGAGAGUGGGCCUCCUGCCCUUGCCGAAACUGCGAGGGAGCUCGGCAACGAACGGGGCGGUAGUCCUAGACUCUGCUGGGAGACCCUUCGGAUGCUUUUGCGCUUUCAUGUUGUUUAGGUUAAAAAUCUUAAGUCUGUAUUGGUGUCGCUACCCUCGUUUUUUACUUUCCCUUUUGUAUGUGUUGCUAAUUAAAGGAAAGUUGAAAGGGUGGGAAAAACAUUGACUUGGGCUCCCCCAAACCGUUAAGAAUGGAUACAAAUUAGUUGUGAAGUUUAGGUCAUAGUUUCUUGUAGCUCUCAACCCAGACUUUUUCUAAACUAUUGGAAAUACUAGUGUUUUCAGGAGUAUUCAGUGUUUAUUUGCUUUGACAAAGCUGCGUAAAGAUGAGAUGGUGUGAAGACUCAAGAUGUGUUAAACCGAGCAUUAUAGAUGUAGAAUGAGGGGGUUACUAAGAGAAUAAGGUGGCUGAUGGAUUUUUAACACUUUUGUGACCUUAGAAAAACUGGAGAGAGCUGUAUGGUGUUUCAUUUAGUGUCUUGGAUUUCAAAUGGUGAUUAUGGCUAAAGGAUUAAAGCAAAAGGAUGUUAGAGUGUUAGAGGUAGCUAGCCUGUGGAUUCUAGUUUGAGACAUUAACGUUACAUUCUUUUUGGCGGGGUGUGGAGGCCGACUCACCGGCCCGCUGGGUUACCCAACCAAGGCACAGUUGCAUAAUCGGUGCCCAAACUCCAUUAGAAGUACCCAAAACUUUCUGGAGAACUGGUUGAUUUUCUCAUAUCAAGCCCCAUGUUGGACUGCAGCCUGGGUGUGAAGCAUGCUUAAAAAAAGAAAGAAAAUGGGCACCUGGGGGCUCAAGUCAGUCAAGAGUCGACUUCGGCCCAAGUCAUGGCCUUGCGGUUCCUGGGAUCGAGCCCCAGGUCAGACCCUAUGCAAACAGCUCGGAGCCUAGAGCCUGCUUUGGGUUGGUUGUCUCCCUCUCUCUGUGCCCCUCUCCUCCUCUGGCUCUGUGUCUUUCUCAAAAAUAAACAUUUUUUUAAAAAUUAAAAAGAACAAAGAAAUGAUUUCUGGGAGAAGUUGUUAUAGCUCACUUUACUAAAUUCUGUAAUAAAUUUGAAUUUUUUUAUCAUGAA